GCUACGGGUGGCAGCAGUGAGGAAUAUUGGUCAAUGGCCGCAAGGCUGAACCAGCCAAGUCGCGUGAAGGAAGACGGAUCUAUGGGUUGUAAACUGCUUUUAUAGGGGAAUAAAGUGAUCCACGUGUGGAUAUUUGCAUGUACCCUAUGAAUAAGCAUCGGCUAACUCCGUGCCAGCAGCCGCGGUAAUACGGAGGAUGCGAGCGUUAUCCGGAUUUAUUGGGUUUAAAGGGUGCGUAGGUUGUUCUUUAAGCCAGCUGUGAAAGUUUGUGGCUCAACCAUAAAACUGCCGUUGAAACUGGAAGACUUGAGUGUGUUUGAGGUAGGCGGAAUGCGUGGUGUAGCGGUGAAAUGCAUAGAUAUCACGCAGAACUCCGAUUGCGAAGGCAGCUUACUAAGCCAUAACUGACACUGAGGCACGAAAGCGUGGGGAUCAAACAGGAUUAGAUACCCUGGUAGUC
rnacentral:rRNA from 1 species